rnacentral:rRNA from 1 species
GAGUUUGAUCCUGGCUCAGAGCGAACGCUGGCGGCGUACUUAACACAUGCAAGUCGAACGAGGAGUACCACUGUAGCAAUACAGCGGUACUUCUAGUGGCGUACGGGUGAGUAACACGUGGGCAACCUGCCCUUGAGUCCGGGAUACCCUCUCGAAAGGGAGGCUAAUACUGGAUACGUUCUCCGGACCGCAAGGCCUGGAGAGGAAAGGUAGCGAAAGCUGCCGCUCUUGGAGGGGCUCGCGGCCUAUCAGCUAGUUGGUGAGGUAACGGCUCACCAAGGCUAUGACGGGUAGCUGGUCUGAGAGGACGACCAGCCACACGGGAACUGAGACACGGUCCCGACUCCUACGGGAGGCAGCAGUGGGGAAUUUUCCGCAAUGGGCGAAAGCCUGACGGAGUGACGCCGCGUGGGGGACGAAGGCCUC